rnacentral:lncRNA from 1 species
CUCAAACCUUAGCUCCUGUGCCUACAUGCUGCCUGAUUCACUAGGUGCCCCAUGUGGGGGAAGCCGUCAGACCUUUGCCUUCUCACAGGAAUCACAAGAUUUGAGAUUCUGGGUUCUGCCAGCACCCUCAAUUCACGGGUCCUGCACUCCCCUCAGUGUGGAGCAGGGCGGCCCUCCUACUUGAUCCAAAGCCCACUCACACUUCAACUGGUGCAGAGGUCCGCCAACCUCAUCAGAAGAAGGGAGGAUGCAUCCAUAUCUAGAGGAGGCAGGAGGGAUCACAUCGACUUUACUGUGGACAGUAGCUCCUGAGAAGUCUAGUGUGACUGUGUGACUCCCAACUAGAAUGGAGCCCUGGAGGGCAGGGCUGUGUCUGCUCUGUGCACUGGACUAUGCGCUGUCCUGGAGUGUGGACAUGAGAAGACCACCAGAUUAUCAGCCACCCAUCAGCUUGCUCCUGCCAAGAGUAAGUCCUCCCCCAACACUGAAGAUGAGGAGAUGGGGGCUAAGAGGGUUCACAGAGGUGGCCUGGCCUGGUUUGGCCUGGCCCUAGACCACCUUGUGUUACUUCAGGGGACCUCCCAGCAAAGGGCCAGAGGCGUCAGAGAGGAGGGUUGAGCCAACGUCUGCAGCGUCUGAAAAGUCUCUCACUCGGGGUUUCCUGAAGCCAGAACCUCAGUAAGUCAGGUUACAGCAGGAGAACAUCUUUCACUAUCGAGUGUCUCUGGCCAAGUGAGCUGGAAAAAGCUUGCUCACCUCUGACCUAGAGAAAGAAGUCCAAACUCCUAUAUUUUCAGUGAGAUUCAGCACAACCCUGGCCACACAGAAGUUCCUGGUGACAAAUAGAAAUGGCAAGCAAUAGGAUAUAUUGGAGUCUAUGAGGAAGCCAUUUGGUGUAAACCUAAUUCGGCCUGACUUUGUUUUCCCAAAAGGGCGUGACUGUGGCCAUUGAGCACGCAUUGCAUAUCUGCUUUAAACAUUUC